UACGGGGGGGGCAAGCGUUGUUCGGAAUUACUGGGCGUAAAGGGCUCGUAGGCGGCCAACUAAGUCAGACGUGAAAUCCCUCGGCUUAACCGGGGAACUGCGUCUGAUACUGGAUGGCUUGAGUGUGGGAGAGGGAUGCGGAAUUCCAGGUGUAGCGGUGAAAUGCGUAGAUAUCUGGAGGAACACCGGUGGCGAAGGCGGCAUCCUGGACCAUUACUGACGCUGAGGAGCGAAAGCCAGGGGAGCAAACGGG
rnacentral:rRNA from 1 species